GGGCGAAGAUAAGACGGAUUAGCGGCGGACGGGUGAGUAACACGUGAGUAACCUGCCUUUUACACAGGGAUAGCCUCGGGAAACCGGGAUUAAAACCUGAUGAAACUAUCAAAUCACAUGAUUAAGAAAGUUAAAACUCCGGUGGUAAAAGAUGGACUCGCGUCCCAUUAGCUAGUUGGUGAAGGUAACGGCCCACCAAGGCAACGAUGGGUAGCCGGCCUGAGAGGGUGAACGGCCACAUUGGAACUGAGAAACGGUCCAAACUCCUACGGGAGGCAGCAGCG
rnacentral:rRNA from 1 species